GAUAAACGCUGGCGGCGUGCAUAACACAUGCAAGUCGAACGAAGUGGCGAACGGGUGAGUAACACGUGAGUAACCUGCCUUACACAAGGGGAUAGCCUUUGGAAACGAAGAAUAAUACCCUAUGGUGUAAGAUGGACUUGCGUCUGAUUAGCUAGUUGGUGAGAUAAAGGCCCACCAAGGCAACGAGCAGUAGCCGGCUUGAGAGAGUGGGCGACCACAUUAGGACAUGCAGCCGGCCCUAAAUCUAAAGGAGGCAGCAGUGAGGAGUUUUGCGCAAUGAGAGAAAACCGGAGGCGUCGACGCCGCGGGAUUUAGAAGGACUUCAAGUCGUAAAAAUCUUUUUUAUGGGAUGCAGUACCAUAAGAAUAAGGGCCGGCUAACUACGUGCCAGCAGCCGCGGUAAUAC
rnacentral:rRNA from 1 species